UGUUGACUCAUUUGUAGAUCUUACUUUGCUGAACAUUAUUGCUGUUUACAGUUUAUCUCUAUCUAUAAUAAUAUUCAAGAUAAUAACCAAAAACGGCAAAAUUUCCUUAAAAUUACCAAUUCAGGGGCAGCAACCCAACAACGGGUUACCUGAUUGGUCUGAAAAUUUAAGUACAGAUAGAUCUUGACCUAAUGAACAAUUUUAUCCUCAUCAGAUUUCCUCUAAAUGCUUUGGUUUCAGAGAUAUGAGCCAAAAACUGCAUUUUACCCUAUGUACUAUUUUUUAGCCAUGUCGGCAAUCUUGGUUCGCGGGCGGGGUCAUCGGACACAUUUUUUAAACUAGAUACCCUAAUGAUGAUUGUGGACAAGUUUGGUUAAAUUUGUCUUAGUAUUUUCAGAGGAGAAGAUUUUUGUAAAAAAUUACAAAAAUUUACGAAAAAUGGUUAAAAAUUGACUAUAAAGGGCAAUAACUCCUUAAGGGGUCAACUGACCAUUUUGGUCAUGUUGACUCAUUUGUAGAUCUUACUUUGCUGAACAUUAUUGCUGUUUACAGUUUAUCUCUAUCUAUAAUAAUAUUCAAGAUAAUAACCAAAAACGGCAAAAUUUCCUUAAAAUUACCAAUUCAGGGGCAGCAACCCAACAACGGGUUGCCUGAUUGGUCUGAAAAUUUAAGGGCAGAUAGAUCUUGACCUAAUGAACAAUUUUAUCUCAUCAGAUUUCCUCAUAAUGCUUUGGUUUCAGAGAUAUGAGCCAAAAACUGCAUUUUACCCUAUGUACUAUUUUUUAGCCAUGUCGGCCAUCUUGGUUCGAGGGCAGGGUCAUCGGACACAUUUUUUAAACUAGAUACCCUAAUGAUGAUUGUGGACAAGUUUGGUUAAAUUUGUCUUAGUAGUUUCAGAGGAGAAGAUUUUUGUAAAAAAUUACAAAAAUUUACGAAAAAUGGUUAAAAAUUGACUAUAAAGGACAAUAACUCCUUAAGGGGUCAACUGACCAUUUUGGUCAAGUUGACUUAUUUGUAGAUCUUACUUUGCUGAACAUUAUUGCUGUUUACAGUUUAUCUCUAUCUAUAAUAAUAUUUAAGAUAAUAACCAAAAACGGCAAAAUUUCCUUAAAAUUACCAAUUCAGGGGCAGCAACCCAACAACGGGUUGUCCGAUUCAUCUGAAAAUUUCAGGGCAGAUAGAUCUUGACCUGAUAAACAAUUUUACUUCAUGUCAGAUUUGCUUUAAAUGCUUUGGUUUUUGAGUUAAAAGCCAAAAACUGAAUUUUACCCCUAUGUUCUAUUUUUAGCCGUGGCGGCCAUCUUGGUUGGUUGACCAGGUCACGCCACACAUUUUUAAAACUAGAUAACCAAAUGAUGAUUGUGGCCAAGUUUGGUUUAAUUUGGCCACGGAGUUUCAGAGGAGAAGAUUUUUGUAAAAGAUUACCAAGAUUUACGAAAAAUUGUUAAAAAUUGACUAUAAA